AUGCUCAAAGGCUCGCCAAGGAGCUGGGUGAGCUCCGUCAAAGGUAUGGAGUAUGGACUCGAGGCAUACGCGGAUGGUGUGGGGAAUGCCAUUGAUCCUCGCCUCAAGGCUGUGUAUAGAGAUGUCACGGAGCUUGUAGGCAUCGAGGCCACCCGGGAUGAGCUGAUCGAAAAGCUCCUUGAUGGGGAUGGGAAGUCCAAGCAGCAACUCAAGACACUGUCUAUUGUUGGAUUCGGUGGAUUAGGGAAGACCACCCUUGCCAAAGCGGUGUACGACAAGAUCAGGGCGCAGUUCAGUUGUGGAGUGUUUGUUUCCGUGUCUCGAAAUCCUGACGUCACAAAGAUUUUUAAGAAGGAUGUUGUAUGGACUAGACAGUACUGA
rnacentral:rRNA from 1 species